AGAGUUUGAUCAUGGCUCAGGACGAGCGCUGGCGGCGUGCCUAAUACAUGCAAGUGGAACGCUGAGGACUGGUGCUUGCACCGGUUCAAGGAGUUGCGAACGGGUGAGUAACGCGUAGGUAACCUACCUCAUAGCGGGGGAUAACUAUUGGAAACGAUAGCUAAUACCGCAUGACAAUGGAGGACCCAUGUCUUUCAUUUAAAAGGUGCAACUGCAUCACUAUGAGAUGGACCUGCGUUGUAUUAGCUAGUUGGUGAGGUAACGGCUCACCAAGGCGACGAUACAUAGCCGACCUGAGAGGGUGAACGGCCACACUGGGACUGAGACACGGCCCAGACUCCUACGGGAGGCAGCAGUAGGGAAUCUUCGGCAAUGGACGGAAGUCUGACCGAGCAACGCCGCGUGAGUGAAGAAGGUUUUCGGAUCGUAAAGCUCUGUUGUUAGAGAAGAAUGAUGGUGGGAGUGGAAAAUCCACCAUGUGACGGUAACUAACCAGAAAGGGACGGCUAACUACGUGCCAGCAGCCGCGGUAAUACGUAGGUCCCGAGCGUUGUCCGGGUUUAUUGGGCGUAAAGCGAGCGCAGGCGGUUCUUUAAGGCUGAAGUUAAAGGCAGUGGCUCAACCACUGUACGCUUUGGAAACUGGAGAACUUGAGUGCAGAAGGGGAGAGUGGAAUUCCAUGUGUAGCGGUGAAAUGCGUAGAUAUAUGGAGGAACACCGGUGGCGAAAGCGGCUCUC
rnacentral:rRNA from 1 species